rnacentral:SRP_RNA from 1 species
UGCCCUGUCCCCGCAAUCCGCCAUAGCGGGGUCGAACUCCCCCCCGAGGGUCGGAUCACUCGAUACUGCCGGGGUCAAGCGGUGUUGAAGAUCGGGUCCUGCGCGGCAGGAGCCUCCGAACCCCGUCAGGUCCGGGAGGAAGCAGCGGUAAGGAGCCCCUCCUGGGCGCCGCAGGGGUGCCUGGUCGGAGCCGGCUGAUCCUGGUAAGCCGGGUGGUGCGGUUCGACGGGGGGUGCACGA